UGGGAAUUUUGGACAAUGGGCGAAAGCCUGAUCCAGCAAUGCCGCGUGUGUGAAGAAGGCCUUCGGGUUGUAAAGCACUUUUGUCCGGAAAGAAAUCCUUGGCUCUAAUACAGUCGGGGGAUGACGGUACCGGAAGAAUAAGCACCGGCUAACUACGUGCCAGCAGCCGCGGUAAUACGUAGGGUGCAAGCGUUAAUCGGAAUUACUGGGCGUAAAGCGUGCGCAGGCGGUUUGCUAAGACCGAUGUGAAAUCCCCGGGCUCAACCUGGGAACUGCAUUGGUGACUGGCAGGCUAGAGUAUGGCAGAGGGGGGUUAGAAUUCCACGUGUAGCAGUGAAAUGCGUAGAGAUGUGGAGAAUACCGAUGGCGAAGGCAGCCCCCUGGGCCAAUACUGACGCUCAUGCACGAAAGCGUGGGGAGCAAACAGGAUUAGAUACCCUGGUAGUCCACGCCCUAAACGAUGUCAACUAGUUGUUGGGGACUUCAUUUCCUUAGUAACGUAGCUAACGCGUGAAGUUGACCGCCUGGGGAGUACGGUCGCAAGAUU
rnacentral:rRNA from 1 species